rnacentral:rRNA from 1 species
CUAAGACGUGGCCCGGGUCGAACGAGUUCUGAUUAUUGAAAGGUGCUUGCAUCUUGAUUUGAUUUUGAACGAGUGGCGGACGGGUGAGUAACACGUGGGUAACCUGCCCUUAAGUGGGGGAUAACAUUUGGAAACAGAUGCUAAUACCGCAUAAAUCCAAGAACCGCAUGGUUCUUGGCUGAAAGAUGGCGUAAGCUAUCGCUUUUGGAUGGACCCGCGGCGUAUUAGCUAGUUGGUGAGGUAACGGCUCACCAAGGCAAUGAUACGUAGCCGAACUGAGAGGUUGAUCGGCCACAUUGGGACUGAGACACGGCCCAAACUCCUACGGGAGGCAGCAGUAGGGAAUCUUCCACAAUGGACGCAAGUCUGAUGGAGCAACGCCGCGUGAGUGAAGAAGGCUUUCGGGUCGUAAAACUCUGUUGUUGGAGAAGAAUGGUCGGCAGAAUAACUGUUGUCGGCGUGACGGUAUCCAACCAGAAAGCCACGGCUAACUACGUGCCAGCAGCCGCGGUAAUACGUAGGUGGCAAGCGUUAUCCGGAUUUAUUGGGCGUAAAGCGAGCGCAGGCGGUUUUUUAAGUCUGAUGUGAAAGCCCUCGGCUUAACCGAGGAAGUGCAUCGGAAACUGGGAAACUUGAGUGCAGAAGAGGACAGUGGAACUCCAUGUGUAGCGGUGAAAUGCGUAGAUAUAUGGAAGAACACCAGUGGCGAAGGCGGCUGUCUGGUCUGUAACUGACGCUGAGGCUCGAAAGCAUGGGUAGCGAACAGGAUUAGAUACCCUGGUAGUCCAUGCCGUAAACGAUGAAUGCUAGGUGUUGGAGGGUUUCCGCCCUUCAGUGCCGCAGCUAACGCAUUAAGCAUUCCGCCUGGGGAGUACGACCGCAAGGUUGAAACUCAAAGGAAUUGACGGGGGCCCGCACAAGCGGUGGAGCAUGUGGUUUAAUUCGAAGCAACGCGAAGAACCUUACCAGGUCUUGACAUCUUUUGAUCACCUGAGAGAUCAGGUUUCCCCUUCGGGGGCAAAAUGACAGGUGGUGUAUGGUUGUCGUCAGCUCGUGUCGUGAGAUGUUGGGUUAAGUCCCGCAACGAGCGCAACCCUUAUGACUAGUUGCCAGCAUUUAGUUGGGCACUCUAGUAAGACUGCCGGUGACAAACCGGAGGAAGGUGGGGAUGACGUCAAAUCAUCAUGCCCCUUAUGACCUGGGCUACACACGUGCUACAAUGGAUGGUACAACGAGUUGCGAGACCGCGAGGUCAAGCUAAUCUCUUAAAGCCAUUCUCAGUUCGGACUGUAGGCUGCAACUCGCCUACACGAAGUCGGAAUCGCUAGUAAUCGCGGAUCAGCACGCCGCGGUGAAUACGUUCCCGGGCCUUGUACACACCGCCCGUCACACCAUGAGAGUUUGUAACACCCGAAGCCGGUGGCGUAACCCUUUUAGGGAGCG